GUCAAUAACAGCUGUUGUGCUAAUUCCAGAGUGAGGAUCAAUUCCAUCAAACCUAUGGGAUAUAUAGAAAUAUUGUUAAGUGCAGUACUAUUUGAACCAUAAACUACUGCUGAGUUUAUAGGUUAAGUUGAGACAUCAUUAAACGUAAUUGGUUUGCUUUGCAUUAGUAACGCAGACUAUUGUAAUAAAACACAAUAUUUUUUUUUAUUUUUUUUUAUUUUCAGUUCAACAUCUGGUUUUCAUCUGGGCUUUCACACUCUUAGCCAGUACCCUAGCCUUGUCCCCCAGUCACUACCUGAGCCGAGAUGAUGUGGAGCGGCUAAAGAAUUUCUUGGAACGUCCCGUAACAGACCUGGAAUCUGCUUACUACUAUGUUGUAGGGUUUUACCAUGUUGGUGCCAGUGUGCUUGAUGAACAGGUAAGCUAGCUUUCUAUUUAAUACGAGUAUGGGAGGUUGUAAUUUUAUUGAACUGUAGGUGCUGCACAUCUUAUUCCUGGAAAAAUUCAAACCUAAUAUUAGGGGUAUCUUUAAAUGGAGAGAAAUCACUAUCUCACUUUAUUUGAACAGUAAACCUUUCAUUUAGUUUAAAUUUUUUGUUGAAGGGGCGUGGCUUGGAC